AUACGGAGGAUCCGAGCGUUAUCCGGAUUUAUUGGGUUUAAAGGGAGCGUAGGUGGACAGUUAAGUCAGUUGUGAAAGUUUGCGGCUCAACCGUAAAAUUGCAGUUGAUACUGGCUGUCUUGAGUACAGUAGAGGUGGGCGGAAUUCGUGGUGUAGCGGUGAAAUGCUUAGAUAUCACGAAGAACUCCGAUUGCGAAGGCAGCUCACUGGACUGCAACUGACACUGAUGCUCGAAAGUGUGGGUAUCAAACAGGAUUAGAUACCCUGGUAGUCCACACAGUAAACGAUGAAUACUCGCUGUUUGCGAUAUACAGUAAGCGGCCAAGCGAAAGCAUUAAGUAUUCCACCUGGGGAGUACGCCGGCAAGGGUGAAACUCAAAGGAAUUGACGGGG
rnacentral:rRNA from 1 species